UUCAAGUGUAUUUGUGGUUUCUGUGUUCAAUAUUUAACCAUCUAUCUUAUAUUUUUUUUAUGGUUGGUAUUUUUAUUGUUAUUAGAUGAUGAAAUAUAAAUAUUACUUUAUGCAUGAUUUUUUUUAUUUUUUCAUAUUUUUUUAAAUAAGACAGACGGUCAAACGUUGGAUACAAAUAUACUUAAA
rnacentral:pre_miRNA from 1 species